GAAACCCUGAUCCAGCCAUGCCGCGUGUGUGAAGAAGCCUUUUGUUGUAAAGCACUUUAGCAGUGAGAGACUCUCGGUAUACCCGGAGACGAUGACAUUAGCUGCAGAAUAAGCACCGGCUAACUCUGUGCCAGCAGCCGCGGUAAUACAGAGGGUGCAAGCGUUAAUCGGAAUUACUGGGCGUAAAGCGAGCGUAGGUGGCUUGAUAAGUCAGAUGUGAAAUCCCCGGGCUUAACCUGGGAACUGCAUCUGAAACUGUUAGGCUAGAGUAGGUGAGAGGGAAGUAGAAUUUCAGGUGUAGCGGUGAAAUGCGUAGAGAUCUGAAGGAAUACCGAUGGCGAAGGCAGCUUCCUGGCAUCAUACUGACACUGAGGCUCGAAAGCGUGGGUAGCAAACAGGAUUAGAUACCCUGGUAGUCCACGCCGUAAACGAUGUCUACUAGUCGUUGGGUCCCUUGAGGACUUAGUGACGCAGCUAACGCAAUAAGUAGACCGCCUGGGGAGUACGGCCGCAAGGUUAAAACUCAAAUGAAUUGACGGGGGCCCGCACAAGCGGUGGAGCAUGUGGUUUAAUUCGAUGCAACGCGAAGAACCUUACCUGGUCUUGACAUAUCUAGAAUCCUGCAGAGAUGCGGGAGUGCCUUCGGGAAUUAGAAUACAGGUGCUGCAUGGCUGUCGUCAGCUCGUGUCGUGAGAUGUUGGGUUAAGUCCCGCAACGAGCGCAACCCUUGUCCUUAGUUACCAGCGGGUUAAGCCGGGAACUCUAAGGAUACUGCCAGUGACAAACUGGAGGAAGGCGGGGACGACGUCAAGUCAUCAUGGCCCUUACGACCAGGGCUACACACGUGCUACAAUGGUAGGUACAGAGGGCAGCUACACAGCGAUGUGAUGCGAAUCUCAAAAAGCCUAUCGUAGUCCAGAUUGGAGUCUGCAACUCGACUCCAUGAAGUAGGAAUCGCUAGUAAUCGCGGAUCAGAAUGCCGCGGUGAAUACGUUCCCGGGCCUUGUACACACCGCCCGUCACACCAUGGGAGUUGAUUGCACCAGAAGUGGAUAGCUUAACCUUCGGGGAGGCGUUCACCACGGUGUGGUUGAUGACUGGGGUGAAGUCGUAACAAGAGCUAGUCUA
rnacentral:rRNA from 1 species